GACGAACGCUGGCGGCGUGCCUAAUACAUGCAAGUUGAGCGCUGAAGGUUGGUACUUGUACCAACUGGAUGAGCAGCGAACGGGUGAGUAACGCGUGGGGAAUCUGCCUUUGAGCGGGGGACAGCAUUUGGAAACGAAUGCUAAUACCGCAUAAAAACUUUAAACACAAGUUUUAAGUUUGAAAGAUGCAAUUGCAUCACUCAAAGAUGAUCCCGCGUUGUAUUAGCUAGUUGGUGAGGUAAAGGCUCACCAAGGCGAUGAUACAUAGCCGACCUGAGAGGGUGAUCGGCCACAUUGGGACUGAGACACGGCCCAAACUCCUACGGGAGGCAGCAGUAGGGAAUCUUCGGCAAUGGACGAAAGUCUGACCGAGCAACGCCGCGUGAGUGAAGAAGGUUUUCGGAUCGUAAAACUCUGUUGGUAGAGAAGGACGUUGGUGAGAGUGGAAAGCUCAUCAAGUGACGGUAACUACCCAGAAAGGGACGGCUAACUACGUG
rnacentral:rRNA from 1 species